CCUACGGGUGGCAGCAGUGAGGAAUAUUGGUCAAUGGGCGUAAGCCUGAACCAGCCAAGUCGCGUGAGGGAUGAAGGUUCUAUGGAUCGUAAACCUCUUUUAUAAGGGAAUAAAGUGUGGGACGUGUCCGAUUUUGUAUGUACCUUAUGAAUAAGGAUCGGCUAACUCCGUGCCAGCAGCCGCGGUAAUACGGAGGAUCCGAGCGUUAUCCGGAUUUAUUGGGUUUAAAGGGUGCGUAGGCGGCCUUUUAAGUCAGCGGUGAAAGUCUGUGGCUCAACCAUAGAAUUGCAGUUGAAACUGGCAGGCUUGAGUAGGUGAGAGGUAGGCGGAAUGCGUGGUGUAGCGGUGAAAUGCUUAGAUAUCACGCAGAACCCCGAUUGCGAAGGCAGCUUGCCGGGCCAUGACUGACGCUGAGGCACGAAAGUGUGGGGAUCAAACAGGAUUAGAUACCCCAGUAGUC
rnacentral:rRNA from 1 species